rnacentral:tRNA from 1 species
GAAUAUGAAGCGAUUUAUUGCAAUUAGUUUCGACCUAAUUUUAGGUAGUCAAUACCCUUAUUCU